rnacentral:lncRNA from 1 species
GGUCCUGUGCUGUUGAUGUUUUUAGAAAGCGAUUCUGACGUUCUGUGGGAGGUCAACAAAGUUGAAAAUAUCAGUCAAGAAGGUAGAGAAAUGAACUCCAGCAGCAGGAGGGCAAACAGGGGGGAUAUCGAGGAAGAAGUGAGAGGAACAAGUGUAACUGGAGUUCUGAACCCCACAGCGUGUCUCCUUUUGGGUGACGUUCUGCUGUUCACUGUCGACACACGUCACUAUCCUCAGUAUGAUCUUGACAGCUUGUACAACACAAACAGGGAUUUUGACUGGGGUGCAUUCAGACAGCUAAAAGAAGAGCUGACUCUAUCUUGGACUCCUCCCAGCUUCUUUUCGUUAGUCUUUAGCCAGCCUGGAGUAUAUGUUUUCACACUGAGCAGCCAUCAGCACAAACACUUGGUAACUACAUUUUGAAUAAUAUAUAUAAUAUAUAUAUUAUAUAUAUAUAUAUAUAUAUAUAUAUAUAUAUAUAUAUAUAUAUAUAUAUAACAUGGCGGACUCCAUGGAAGGUGACCAUUCCAUUUUUGCCAGAUCCUCCUAAAUGUUACACACUGGACCUUUAAGUCCAUCCACCGAUAGAAAUAUGGUGAGUUUUGACAUGUUCAAAAACAAAACCGACACAUUUUUAAGUCUAAGUUAAAUUAAUUCUUACUAAAAUUAAGACUAACCACACUUUCUGAUCACAUACAUCAGUGUGUCACUCAAACUGACCUUGAAUUUUGUUUUUACACAGUAUGUACGAGUGAUGCCUGCAGGCGGCCAGUGUUAUGAGCCCGGCCCCUUCUUCCCCACCAUCCCUCGUCAUGUAACUAGGGUGGGCAUCAGUAAGAGACGCAACCUGUUACUGAGACCAGAUUGGCUGGUGACUGGAGGACUGCUAUUUGGAGCUGUGGUCAUCCUCUGCUUAUGCGUUACACUGCUGAUCCUGUUCCAUGAAUACGGAUGGCCUGAGAAGGAGCCAAUCAGAGCACGGUAUCGCUUGUUGCAGUUGGGCUACAACAUGGACGACUACUCAUCAAAAGGUUCAAGGGUGAUCUCACUUCGGAAGAUUCACCGAAACCAACAAGCUAGAAUGACACAAGACUCCAUUCAACCAGUCUGUGCAGAUACCUUGGAGGAGUUCUGGGAUUAUGAGCACCAGGUGGAUCUGGAGGCAUUCAGCAGCAACACCUUCUACAGCCUGCUGCUCAAACAGAGUCUGUCUGUCACCACACGGCUGGGACAGCUCACCACUGAGGUAAAGCAGCUAUACCAGGGGGUGAUUGGGAAACUGGAGCUACUCCACCCACGCUUGAUCACUGAGGAGAGGAUGGGGGAGGGUUUUGAGAGGAUGAGAAGGGAGGUGGAGAGGGAGAUGGUACGACGAAAGACUCUGGCAUCACAGCUGAGGACACUGUUCGACAGUCAACUGCAGGUCCUGAGGCAAGAGCAGCAGGCCCAGCAGAGGGUGCACAGCGUGUUCACAGCUCAGCUCAGGGAGUGCACCAGACUACUCUCCAAGGUUUAUAACAACCAAUCAUCUUGUGAACUGCAUCAGCAAAAGUAAAGCUUACAUUUAUCCUCUGCAAAGUGUCACAAACAACAAGUGGAGCUGAGUAAAUCCCCUCUGAUUUUCAAUCUGCUGCUUCCCAUCUUCAGUCUAAUCCAGAGGC